UACGUAGGGUGCAAGCGUUGUCCGGAAUCAUUGGGCGUAAAGCGCGCGUAGGCGGCCCGAUAAGUCCGCUGUAAAAGUCAACGGCUCAACUGUUGAAAGCCGGUGGAUACUGUCGGGCUAGAGUACGGAAGAGGCAAGUGGAAUUCCUGGUGUAGAGGUGAAAUUCGUAGAUAUCAGGAGGAACACCAGUGGCGAAGGCGGCUUCCUGGACAAUAACUGACGCUGAGACGCGAAAGCGUGGGGAGCAAACAGG
rnacentral:rRNA from 1 species